AUGGGCUUUGGGUUAUGUAGAUCAAAAAUGAUGAAUGGGAUUGUGGCACUCCACUCGCCGCCAAUGCGGAAGGAUGCCGCCGAAAAGAAUGGAACGCUGCUUCGCUCUGCUGGAUGCGUCGGAUCCCAUAUAAGAAGCUCGCUCUUUACCCGAUCAUUCAAACAUUUUGUGGGCGGCGCGCCUGCUCUAUUGUUGCGUAGCAAUAGAAGCCUGCUCAUGCUGCUUCGGCAGCGCCUUUUCUCCUUCUCUUCCCUCUGGACAGGAGCGCUAAUGGACACGGGGAGGGAGCAGACGAAGCGUGUCGUUCGUAAUGGAAAGGAAGACACCACUACUUCGCCUCUUUGUUGGACCGCCGGCGCGAACACGGUGGUCUCUGACCAGGACCAGGAACCAAUUCGAAUUUGGAUCUUGACAUGUCGGUUGUUUUUAACCGUAGGCAUCUCGCCAGGAAGUUGGUGGGCUCAUCAUGAAUUAGGUCGGGGUGGCUGGUGGUUUCAGGAUCCCGUAGAAAAUGCGUCUUUUAUGCCUCGGGUAUUAGCCAUAGCUCGUAUUCAUUCAGUAAUUCUACCCCUUCUUCAUUCUUGGACCUCGCUUCUGAAUAUUUUGACUCUUCCAUGCUGUGUCUUAGGAACCUUUUCUUAUCUGGUAAAUUGCCAGUAG
rnacentral:rRNA from 1 species